rnacentral:sRNA from 1 species
AAACUUUUAGAAAUUUUAGUUCAUGAAAUAGUAAAAUAAAAUAGGAAAAUUGCACGUAUGCUCAGUGGAUUCAGUAUUUAGAUUCUAAUUUCCCAAAAGUUUCAGCGCUACUGUUGCAAAAAUAAAAACGCGUGUAUCCCUAUGUCUAGUAGAAAUCUAAAUGUAGCUCUUAUAUCUCUUUGUGUAAGGCGAAUAGUAGAAGAUCUUGCUUUGGAUAUUUUGGUGGGUGAAUUAAAUUUUUAUAUUAUUUUGAUAGUUUUCAAUCGAGGCGUCGUUUCGGUCCAAUCUAUAUUUACCUCAUGUUUUUUCUUCGUCUCUUUCAUUCUAAUUGGUUUGUUAUCGGAUAAUUUGUUACCGUACACGAGUUUUUGUGGUUCAGAAUUCGUCUCACGUGUUGCGAGUGGUGAAUAUAUUAACUCUAUUAUGAAUAUAUUAACUUUAUUAUCUGUUAUCUCAUUAUCUCGACAUUUCAUUGCGAGAGGACCUAUAUCUAUAUUAACUCUAUUAUAUGCUAUCUCGUUAUCUCGACAUUUCAUUGCGUGUUUUGAAAUUUUAACUCCUAACUGGUUUGUUAUCAGAUAAUUUAUUACCGUACACGAGUUUUUGCGGUUCAGAAUUCGUCUCACGUGUUGCGAGUGGUGAAUAUAUUAACUCUAUUAUGAAUA